AACUUGUGAUGCUGGCAGGCUCUCAUCAACUCUUUGUAUCGCUUUCACACUUCAAAUAGUGAUUCAUCGUCCAUCUGCCUAAAACAGGUAAUUUGAUUCCUUAACU